AACGCACAUUGCGCCCGCUAGUAUUCUGGCGGGCAUGCCUGUUCGAGCGUCAUUUCAACCAUCAAGCCCCCGGCUUGCGUUGGAGCCCUGCGGCUGCCGCAGGCUCCCAAAUCUAGUGGCGGGCUCGUCGUCGUACCGAGUGCAGUAAACAUCCUCGCUCAGGGAACGCGUCGGGUUCUUGCCGUGAAACCCCCCCUAUAUUAAGGUUGACCUCGGAUCAGGUAGGAAUACCCGCUGAACUUAA
rnacentral:misc_RNA from 1 species